GAUGAACGCUGGCGGCGUGCCUAAUACAUGCCAGUCGAGCGAACAGACGAGGAGCUUGCUCCUCUGACGUUAGCGGCGGACGGGUGAGUAACACGUGGAUAACCUACCUAUAAGACUGGGAUAACUUCGGGAAACCGGAGCUAAUACCGGAUAAUAUAUUGAACCGCAUGGUUCAAUAGUGAAAGACGGUUUUGCUGUCACUUAUAGAUGGAUCCGCGCCGCAUUAGCUAGUUGGUAAGGUAACGGCUUACCAAGGCAACGAUGCGUAGCCGACCUGAGAGGGUGAUCGGCCACACUGGAACUGAGACACGGUCCAGACUCCUACGGGAGGCAGCAGUAGGGAAUCUUCCGCAAUGGGCGAAAGCCUGACGGAGCAACGCCGCGCGAGUGAUGAAGGUCUUCGGAUCGUAAAACUCUGUUAUUAGGGAAGAACAAAUGUGUAAGUAACUAUGCACGUCUUGACGGUACCUAAUCAGAAAGCCACGGCUAACUACGUG
rnacentral:rRNA from 1 species